UACAGAGGGUGCGAGCGUUAAUCGGAAUUACUGGGCGUAAAGCGCACGUAGAUGGCUUCGUAAGUCGGAUGUGAAAUCCCCGGGCUUAACCUGGGAACUGCAUUCGAAACUGCGUUGCUCGAAUGUGGAAGAGGGAAGCGGAAUUCCAGGUGUAGCGGUGAAAUGCGUAGAUAUCUGGAGGAACAUCAGUGGCGAAAGCGGCUUCCGGGUCCAACAUUGACAUUCAGGUGCGUAAGCGUGGGGAGCAAACAGG
rnacentral:rRNA from 1 species